UACGUAGGGUGCAAGCGUUAAUCGGAAUUACUGGGCGUAAAGCGUGCGCAGGCGGUUAUGUAAGACAGGUGUGAAAUCCCCGGGCUCAACCUGGGAACUGCAUCUGUGACUGCAUUGCUGGAGUGCGGCAGAGGGGGAUGGAAUUCCGCGUGUAGCAGUGAAAUGCGUAGAUAUGCGGAGGAACACCGAUGGCGAAGGCAAUCCCCCUGGGCCUGCACUGACGCUCAUGCACGAAAGCGUGG
rnacentral:rRNA from 1 species